GCUGGGCAUGGUGGUGCAUGCCUGUAGUCUCAGCCACUGCAAAGGCUGAGGCAGGAGGAUCACUUGAGCCUGGGAGAUUGAGGCUGCAGUGAGCUUUGAUUGUGCCACUGCACUCCAGCUUGGGCAACAGAGUGAGAACCUGUCUCAA
ensembl:misc_RNA Metazoa_SRP Metazoan signal recognition particle RNA